rnacentral:rRNA from 1 species
UUGAACGCUGGCGGCAGGCCUAACACAUGCAAGUCGAGCGGAUGAAGGGAGCCUGCUCCUGGAUUCAGCGGCGGACGGGUGAGUAAUGCCUAGGAAUCUGCCUGGUAGUGGGGGAUAACGUCCGGAAACGGGCGCUAAUACCGCAUACGUCCUGAGGGAGAAAGUGGGGGAUCUUCGGACCUCACGCUAUCAGAUGAGCCUAGGUCGGAUUAGCUAGUUGGUGGGGUAAAGGCCUACCAAGGCGACGAUCCGUAACUGGUCUGAGAGGAUGAUCAGUCACACUGGAGCUGAGACACGGUCCAGACUCCUACGGGAGGCAGCAGUGGGGAAUAUUGGACAAUGGGCGAAAGCCUGAUCCAGCCAUGCCGCGUGUGUGAAGAAGGUCUUCGGAUUGUAAAGCACUUUAAGUUGGGAGGAAGGGCAGUAAGUUAAUACCUUGCUGUUUUGACGUUACCAACAGAAUAAGCACCGGCUAACUUCGUG